GGCGGCAGCUGUCGACCGCUCCAGCUAGGGACCCCAAAUUUCCCUUUCCCUGAGCCCCAGCUCUGACUGGGGCAUCCCGAGGCGUUCCCAGGCCAGGUUGGAGAUUGGUUCCAAAGCCCCUAUGAUUGAACGAGGAAGAGGUAGAGUGACCCUGCCUGGAGGAAGCCCGGGGCCCCCGUCUGGAGCCAGGCCCAGAUGGAGGGCUCGUCGGUGAGCGUCUGGUGGCCGGGUUUGCCACGGAGAAGCAAGCAUGGGCCCAGCACCUGUGGGAGGAACCACUGGGCUGCCACACGGGUGGCAGUGAAGGUCAGGGGGCUUCGACUGACCAGACCCGGGUGGCAGAGGCUGCCUCUCUGGGGGGGGAAGGAGCCAGAACUUGUGCAGGAGGUGGAGUUCACCCCGAUUCUCCAACCCAUGUGUCUGUUAUGUUAUGCAUUAUCAUUUGCUCACCCUUAUGUUAAAUAAAUCUUUGUUGAAUGAACUGAACUCUGUGGCUCACUCCUGCAUUCUGACCGAUGGCAAUCAUCUCUAAAACUGAC